rnacentral:rRNA from 1 species
UACGUAGGGGGCAAGCGUUGUCCGGAAUCACUGGGCGUAAAGGGCGCGUAGGCGGCUUUAUAAGUCGGGGGUGAAAGCCUGUGGCUCAACCACAGAAUUGCCUUCGAUACUGUAGAGCUUGAGACCGGAAGAGGUAAGUGGAACUGCGAGUGUAGAGGUGAAAUUCGUAGAUAUUCGCAAGAACACCAGUGGCGAAGGCGGCUUACUGGUCCGGUUCUGACGCUGAGGCGCGAAAGCGUGGGGAGCAAACAGG